rnacentral:rRNA from 1 species
UACAGAGGGUGCGAGCGUUAAUCGGAAUUACUGGCGUAAAGCGCGCGUAGGCGGCUUUGCAAGCCGGGUGUGAAAUCCCCAGGCUUAACCUGGGAACUGCAUUCGAGACUGCAUUGCUAGAGUAUGGGAGAGGGAAGUGGAAUUUCAGGUGUAGCGGUGAAAUGCGUAGAUAUCUGAAGGAACAUCAGUGGCGAAAGCGACUUCCUGGACCAAUACUGACGCUCAUGUGCGAAAGCGUGGGGAGCAAACAGG